AUGUCAAAGUGAUCUACCUGCCCACAAACACAAUGUCUCCAAUUUGGCCUCUUGAUCAGUCUUAAGGACCUUUAAGGCUCAUUACACACAGUACUACAUGGAAAGGAUUGUCCGUGUUCUAGAAGAGAAUCCAAACCAGACAUCAGAAAAGUCUGGAAGGAUUACACCGUUGAAGAUGCCACCGUUGUUUCAGAAGAGGCCAUGGAAACCAUCUAGCCUGAAGCAGUGAAUUCCUGCUGGGGAAAACUGUGUCUAGAGGUUGCACAUGACUUCACAGGAUUUAUGAUAGAGAUUAUGACAUAGAAAUCGAAGAAAUCAUGAAAUAGAUUGUGGACAUGGCAAGAAGGCCAGGAGGUAAAGGGCUUCUUGGAGAAAUUCCAGAAUUAACAGGCACCACACCAGAUGAAUUAAGAGUUGUCCUGACGGACAUGAGUUGUCUUCAUGAACAAAUUGACGUUAGAUAAUCUGGCAGAAGAAUCCUGAUUAUUCAAGACUGCUUUUGACUUCCUUUACAACAUGGACUCUUCUAGGAUAUGGGUGCUGAAACUAAAGUACGUAGAGGAAGAAAGAUUGGCAUUGUACAGAAAGCUUUCUAGAGAAAUGAAAAAGCAAAAAAAGGUCAAAUUAUGAAAUAUGUAUUUCUGUAAAGUUGCACCCACCUCUUCUGCCUUCCUUUUUACCUUCUGCACCUCUUCCACCCCCAUCACCUCUCGUCCUCCUCAGUCUACCCAACAGGAAGAUGAUGACAAUAAAGACCUUUAGGAUGAUCCACUUCCAUUUAGUGAAGAGUAAGGAAUCAUUAUGCUGCACCGUUAAUAAACAUCCGUUGUGUCUUCAUGUGAAAAUAUAAUAACUGUAUGGCAAGAACUAUGCGAAACAUUUUAUGUCCUCCUCCUCAUCACUGCUUAAGUAUUCAUCACGUAGAAUAUCACGAACCAGAUUUGUAUGGAAGUGGAUAGCCUAUCCUCUCACAGGCAUAGGGUCAGUGAUAUUUAACAUAAAAUUAAUAAUGUGUUAGUUUUCUUACUGUUUUAUAACUUUGCUUUCAAAGAAUUACUACACAAUAUCUCUGACUGCCAUCUUUCUCUCCCUCUCUCCAUACCCUGCCUUCUCCCCCUGCCCCCCACCUAUAACUGGAGAAACUAUGUAUCAGCCUGUCAUCACAGCAUCUGAUAAGCGGUAGAAAUCUGGUAACCAGAAACAGUGAUGCUCUGGAUACUAACAGAGAUGAUGGAAACAACAGGAUGAACUGUGAAGGACGGUUGACAGCAUUAAUGAAGUCAUUGCGUGGCUAAACCUUGUUUCGAAGACAGCUUCAGUCUCAAGGAAGAAAAUAACCUGGACUCCUAUUCUGAAAGACUUGACCUGUAAUAUAAAUCAGGGCACAAACAACAGCACUGUCCAGUUGCAAUGACUAUCAUGAUGAGCCCCUGACCUUCAGCACUGAGUGCAAUUGAUCUAGCUAUUACUGUUUACUUAAUGGAAAAAUCUCUCUCCUGCUUUCAGAUUUGUCCCAAGGCUUAGCCACAAGAGUAAGAUUUCUUUUUAAAAUGUGAGUUCAUUCAUUCUACAGACGUGAGUAUCUGUAAAGCGCCAGGUCCUGUGCUGGGGCAGGGGACCCUCGAAUGAAUUAGAUACCUCUUGUGCACUAAGGAGCAUGUACAAUUCCAGGUUUUAGAGAUUUAGCAGUGAAUAAGACAACCGGAGGAUAAAUGACAGAAGGAACAUCUGAGGCCUGGAGCGUGUACAGGAAAAGAGCUCUGACCAUGUCCAAAGUCAGGGUGUGCACACCCUACACAUCACUGAGUAUUUCACCUCUCGUUUGCUAUAUGCAGAAGCACAGGUGAGUAUUGCUGUUAUAACCAUUUUCCCAAUGCGGUAACAGUACCUCAGGGUAGUAAAAGUGACUGGCCCAUGGUCCCGUAAUUGACUCAAGUCUUGGUUCUCUGACUCCAAAGGCCCUUUCACUUUACUUUUACUAUGACACUGCUGUUCCCCACACAACACAAGUAUCAAAUGAAAAGUUUCUUGAAUUUAGAUCUUUACCUUGUACAGUUGGCAUUUUGUACCGAAGUCUUACUUAUAGCUGGCAGUUACAAAUGAAAAGAACCAUAUAUGGAGAGAAUGUUAAUUUAACCAUAACCUUA